CUGCUGCCUUCCGUAGGAGUCUGGGCCGUGUCUCAGUCCCAGUGUGGCUGGUCGUCCUCUCAGACCAGCUACUGAUCGUUGCUUUGGUGAGCCGUUACCUCACCAACAGGCUAAUCAGUCAUCGGCCGCUCCGCUCGCGAGAGGCCCUUGCGGGUCCCCCUCUUUCUUCCGUAGAACUCAUGCGGUAUUAGCCAACCUUUCGGCUGGUUGUCCCCCACGAGCGGACACGUUCCGAUGUAUUACUCACCCGUUCG
rnacentral:rRNA from 1 species